GGGGAUGACACGGCUUCGACGUGUAGUAAGCGUGCAGCAGACUGACCUGCCGAGCAGCCUGAUUCGCUUCGUAAAACCUGUCAGGAACUGUAACUGCGGACGAUUAUUCGUACGCGAUGGCGGCGUAACAGCCCCCAUCUGUCUCGCGUCGCUCCUGGCCCUUGGGGAGCGUGAGACAUCGACAAAAAGGGUGUAGCCGCCGCGUUCUCCGACUGCGGAUGCGCCGGUGAAAUCUAAUCAGUCUCAGCGCCGCCCUGGCCUUGUGAAUGGGCAGACGGGCGACGUGAACCGCCAAUGCAUUCACUAUGCAGGUAGAGGUUUGCCUGUGCGGCUACACGGACCCGGGUUCGACUCCCGGCAUCUCCACAA
rnacentral:tmRNA from 18 species